AGGAUUCCCUUAGUAACGGCGAGUGAACCGGGAAAAGCUCAAAUUUGAAAUCUGGCUGUCUUCGAUAGUCCGAGUUGUAAUCUAUAGAAGCGUUUUCCGUGCUGAACUGUGUAUAAGUGUCUUGGAACAGACUAUCAAAGAGGGUGACAAUCCCGUACUUUACACAAUCAUCAGUGCUCUGUGAUACGUUCUCUACGAGUCGAGUUGUUUGGGAAUGCAGCUCAAAAUGGGUGGUAAAUUCCAUCUAAAGCUAAAUAUUGGCGAGAGACCGAUAGCGAACAAGUACCGUGAGGGAAAGAUGAAAAGCACUUUGGAAAGAGAGUUAAACAGUACGUGAAAUUGUUAAAAGGGAAACGAUUGAAGUCAGUCGUGUUUAUUGGAUUCAGCCGGUCUUCGGUGUACUUCCUUUAAACGGGUCAACAUCAGUUUUGUCCGGUGGAUAAAGGCAGUAGGAAUGUGGCUCCCUCGGGAGUGUUAUAGCCUAUUGUCACAUACACUGGAGGAGACUGAGGACUGCAGCUCGCCUUUUUGGCCGGGGUUCGCCCACGUUCGAGCUUAGGAUGUUGACAUAAUGGCUUUAAACGACCCGUCUUGAAACAC
rnacentral:rRNA from 1 species